rnacentral:tRNA from 1 species
GGGCCUGUGGCGCAGUGGUAGCGCACCGGUAUGGCAUUCCGGAGGUCGGCGGUUCAAGUCCGCCCUGGUCCA